rnacentral:rRNA from 4 species
GAGAGCAAGCGGACCUCAUAAAGUGCGUCGUAGUCCGGAUUGGAGUCUGCAACUCGACUCCAUGAAGUCGGAAUCGCUAGUAAUCGUGGAUCAGAAUGCCACGGUGAAUACGUUCCCGGGCCUUGUACACACCGCCCGUCACACCAUGGGAGUGGGUUGCAAAAGAAGUAGGUAGCUUAACCUUCGGGGGGGCGCUUACCACUUUGUGAUUCAUGACUGGGGUGAAGUCGUAACAAGGUAACCGUAGGGGAACCUGCGGUUGGAUCACCUCCUUA